AAUGUUUUCUGGAAGUUUAUACUCUAGUGAUUGAUUUUUGUGGGGUUAGCAUGAUAUACAGAGAAUGGUUUUGGGAUGUUAAGAAAGAUAAAAAGUUUUGAUGUCUUAUAACGUAAGAAGAAAACAGAACCAUAGUUAAGAAGAAAUCCCCUAUCCACUAGUAUUGAUAAGAAACUUCUCCUAAGGCAAAAAGAAAAAAAAAUGGGAUUGAUGUUGAAGGGUAGACAUAGGGAUCAUCCGGGUUUAGAUGAUUAGGAGUAAGCACUUGGGAACCAUUGGGUAAUCAAUGUUUUAUUCCUGUAUGCAUUGGUUGGUCCUUACCUUAAGCAUUCUCCCUAAAGCUCAAUCCAUUCACUGAG
rnacentral:lncRNA from 1 species